UACGAAGGGGGCUAGCGUUGCUCGGAAUCACUGGGCGUAAAGGGUGCGUAGGCGGGUCUUUAAGUCAGGGGUGAAAUCCUGGAGCUCAACUCCAGAACUGCCUUUGAUACUGAAGAUCUUGAGUUCGGGAGAGGUGAGUGGAACUGCGAGUGUAGAGGUGAAAUUCGUAGAUAUUCGCAAGAACACCAGUGGCGAAGGCGGCUCACUGGCCCGAUACUGACGCUGAGGUGCGAAAGCGUGGGGAGCAACAG
rnacentral:rRNA from 1 species